AAAAAUUAUUUUUCUGGUUUACAUAAAAACCUUCAGUCCCAAUUAUUUAUGUAAAUCGGGGAAUAUCUGUAUUGAAAUAUAAUUAAAGUUCAUAAAAAUUAUUAUUAUAAGUAAGUAUAACUAAUCUGUAAUAAAGUUGACUGAUUAUCUAUAUGAUAAAGUGUUCAUUUGCCAUCUGGGAAUCCAAAUUCAAUUUUGGAUCCCAUAUCUCCAGAUAUUUUCAGGAUAGAUCUGGGCCUGGUCUGCUGAACUCCAUCCUUCACCUUCUAGCCAACCUGAUGAGUAUAGGUGGCAUAUGGUGGACUUUGAAAUGGCCCUAUUGCUUAAUAUCUGUAAAGAUGAAAAGCAGCAUAAAACCAAGAAAAAAAGAUAUAAUGUCAACUAUAUAUUAGUAAUGGUAAACAUAUAAUACACUAUAGAUAAAUAACAUUUUAAGAGUGCCUAAUUAAUACAAAG
rnacentral:lncRNA from 1 species